rnacentral:antisense_RNA from 1 species
CUUCACCGUGCCCAGCAGCAGCGGACGCUCCCGGUCGCGGCCGUAGGUGGCCUGCAGCGCCUGCGCCUC